rnacentral:rRNA from 1 species
UCUUCGGAUGUGUAUAAAGUGGCGAACGGCUGAGUAACACGUGGGCAACCUGCCCUUUGCACUGGGAUAGCCUCGGGAAACCGAGGUUAAUACCGGAUACUCCAUAUUUGUCGCAUGGCGAAUAUGGGAAAGCUCCGGCGGCAAAGGAUGGGCCCGCGGCCUGUUAGCUAGUUGGUGGGGUAGUGGCCUACCAAGGCAAUGAUGGGUAGCCGGGUUGAGAGACCGACCGGCCAGAUUGGGACUGAGACACGGCCCAGACUCCUACGGGAGGCAGCAGUGGGGAAUCUUGCACAAUGGGCGAAAGCCUGAUGCAGCGACGCCGCGUGCGGGAUGAAGGCCUUCGGGUUGUAAACCGCUUUCAGCAGGGACGAGGCCGCAAGGUGACGGUACCUGCAGAAGAAGCCCCGGCUAACUACGUGCCAGCAGCCGCGGUAAUACGUAGGGGGCAAGCGUUAUCCGGAUUCAUUGGGCGUAAAGCGCGCGUAGGCGGUCUGUUAGGUCAGGAGUUAAAUCUGGGGGCUCAACCCCUAUCCGCUCCUGAUACCGGCAGGCUUGAGUCUGGUAGGGGAAGAUGGAAUUCCAAGUGUAGCGGUGAAAUGCGCAGAUAUUUGGAAGAACACCGGUGGCGAAGGCGGUCUUCUGGGCCAUGACUGACGCUGAGGCGCGAAAGCUAGGGGAGCGAACAGGAUUAGAUACCCUGGUAGUCCUAGCUGUAAACGAUGGACACUAGGUGUGGGGAGAUUAUACUUUCCGUGCCGCAGCUAACGCAUUAAGUGUCCCGCCUGGGGAGUAC